rnacentral:rRNA from 1 species
UACGGAGGGUGCAAGCGUUGUUCGGAAUUAUUGGGCGUAAAGCGCGUGUAGGCGGCUACCUAAGUCUGGUGUGAAAGCCCGGGGCUUAACCCCGGAAGUGCACUGGAUACUGGGUAGCUAGAGGACGGGAGAGGAGAGCGGAAUUCAUGGUGUAGGGGUGAAAUCCGUAGAUAUCAUGAGGAACAUCCGUGGCGAAGGCGGCUCUCUGGCCCGUAACUGACGCUGAGACGCGAAAGCGUGGGGAGCAAACAGG